CGCUGAAGAACAGCUUUUGAGUUCAUUGCUGAGAGCCCCCACGUGACUGGACCACUCUUUCCUGUGACUUCUGCUGGCUGCAACCUGCAUUGCAAGGAUUCUGGGAGCCUUUCACGCGCACAAUGCAAGUUGCCUGUUUAAAAUACAAGUUACCUCAAGGAUUUAAGAAUUGCUUUUCAAGAUUUCACUUUGUUUUUCAUUUAUCAUUAAUAUAUAUAGAGAAAGAUCCAUAGAACCAUUGAUGGAGGUAAGGAAACAUUAGUUUACCUCCAGUAUUUCCCUGAUUUCAUGUAACUAUCCACAAAGAGGCCUUAGGAUGGAGUUUUGCGAGCUCUAUGGCCAUUUGAAAAUCCAGC
rnacentral:lncRNA from 1 species